GGGGAAUUAGCUCAGUGGUAGAGCGUUUGCUUAGCAUGUAAGAGGUCGUGGGUUCGAUACCCACAUUCUCCA
rfam:Nosema bombycis CQ1 unplaced genomic scaffold NBO_16, whole genome shotgun sequence.